AGAGUUUGAUCAUGGCUCAGGAUGAACGCUGGCGGCGUGCCUAAUACAUGCAAGUCGAACGAGGUGCUUUUGUAGCAAUACGAGAGUAUCCUAGUGGCGAACGGGUGAGUAACGCGUUGGUGACCUACCCCAAAGUGUGGGAUAACAGUCCGAAAGGAUUGCUAAUACCGCAUGUGGUCAUUGGAUUUAGAACCUGAUGACUAAAGGAGCAAUUCGCUUUGGGAGGGACCUGCGUCCCAUCAGCUAGUUGGUGAGGUAAUGGCUCACCAAGGCUACGACGGGUAGGGGACCUGAGAGGGUGGCCCCCCACAAUGGAACUGAAACACGGUCCAUACACCUACGGGUGGCAGCAGUAGGGAAUAUUGCUCAAUGGGCGAAAGCCUGAAGCAGCAACGCCGCGUGUGUGAUGAAGGCCUUCGGGUCAUAAAGCACUCUUCUGGGAGAUGAGAAAGGACAGUAUCCCAGGAAUAAGUCUCGGCUAACUACGUGCCAGCCGCCGCGGUAAUAC
rnacentral:rRNA from 1 species